AGUCUGGCCUGCCCAAUGAUUUUUGAAUGGCCGCAGUAUUUUGACUGUGCAAAGGUAGCAUAAUCAUUAGUUUUUUAAUUGAAAGCUGGAAUGAAAGGUUUGAUGAGAAAAUAACUGUCUCUGUGUUAAUUUUUUAGAACUUCAAUUUUAAGUGAAAAAGCUUAAAUUUUUUAUAAAGACGAGAAGACCCUAUAGAGUUUUAUAUAUGUCUGGAUUUAGUAUUUUUUGAAUUAUAUUUUACUAUUUUCAUUUAUGUAUUUUGUUGGGGCGAUGGAAAAAUUUAAUUAACUUUUUUUUGUUUUUUACAUUGAUUUAUGGUUAAUUGAUCCUUGUUUGUGGAUUACAAGACUAAAUUACCUUAGGGAUAACAGCGUAAUUUUUUUUGGAGAGUUCUUAUCGAUAAAAGAGUUUGCGACCUCGAUGUUGGAUUAAAAUUAAAUUUUGGUGUAGAAGCUAGAAUUUUAGGUCUGUUCGACCUUUAAAAUUUU
rnacentral:rRNA from 1 species